rnacentral:antisense_RNA from 1 species
GUUUGUAGAUGGAAGGAAGAACUUGUGUGCUUAGGCCUUACGCUGGGAGGAGAUGCUGCCACCUAGGUUACUUGUAGGACCCUUUACGGCAACCUCCCUUGCCAGGAACUAUUUAGGAACAUUCUGAGUCUAUAUGUCAGAAUACACACUGCCCACCUUGCCCAACAGUAGAAAAAUAUAAGAAGAGAAAAACAUUAAAAAAUGACAAGGAAAUUAAUGGAAGCAAUGUGAUGGUGUUUGGAGGUGGAGCCUUCAGAAGGUAAUUAAUGCCCUUGUAAGAAGAGGCCAGAGAGCUUGAUCACCUUCUUCCUGCCACGUGAGGAGCCAAGAAGCCGGCUGUCUGCAACCUGCAAGAGGACCCUCACUAGAAGCUAGCCAUACUGGCACCCUCAUCUUGGCUUUCCAACUUCCAGAACUGUGAGAAGUAUGUUUGUGGUUUAGUCAAUGGUCUAUGGUAAUUUGUUAUAGCAGUCCCAGCCAAGACAGUGCCUCAUUUACUACAUACCAUUUAUAUUAUUAUAUAGGCUCCUUUCAGAAACCCAUGUUCAAAUAAGAGAUAAGAUACUGAAACACAUAACACUUUCACUAGUUUUUAGUAUACAAAUAUUGAGAAAUAGUUUGUUAUUAAACUAUUUCAUCCAAGAAAUGCAGAUUCAUGUUGUUUCUAAUUUUUUAUAUAUAAUUGACAAAAUGAAGAAACUUAACACCAUCUAGAUUUUAGCUGC